UACGUAGGGGGCUAGCGUUGUCCGGAAUCAUUGGGCGUAAAGAGCGCGUAGGCGGCCCGGUAAGUCCGCUGUAAAAGUCCAGGGCUCAACCCUGGAAAGCCGGUGGAUACUGUCGGGCUCGAGUCCGGAAGAGGCGAGUGGAAAUUCCUGGUGUAGCGGUGGAAUGCGCAGAUAUCAGGAGGAACACCAAUGGCGAAGGCAGCUCGCUGGGACGGUACUGACGCUGAGCGCGAA
rnacentral:rRNA from 1 species